rnacentral:rRNA from 1 species
CAGUCGCCACGGGAAUACGGAGGGUGCAAGCGUUAAUCGGAAUUACUGGGCGUAAAGCGUGCGCAGGCGGCUAUGCAAGACAGAUGUGAAAUCCCCGGGCUCAACCUGGGAACUGCAUUUGUGACUGCAUGGCUAGAGUACGGUAGAGGGGGAUGGAAUUCCGCGUGUAGCAGUGAAAUGCGUAGAUAUGCGGAGGAACACCGAUGGCGAAGGCAAUCCCCUGGACCUGUACUGACGCUCAUGCACGAAAGCGUGGGGAGCAAACAGGAUUAGAUACCCGCGUAGUCCCUGUCUCUUAUAC